CCGGCCGCCAGCGGCGCUCGCAAAGUUCGGAUCCGCAAGGACCGGGCCAGCGGGACGUCCGCGUGGCAGGGUGCACUUUCUCCGCGGUCGAGUGCUACGACCGGUUUCGAGGCGGUCAGAAGCCCGGCGGAAAGGUAGCGCCGCCCUUCGGGGUGUCGUGUUAUAGGCCGCCGCGGUGGACUCGCCGCGAGACCGAGGACGCUUGCCGCGCCGAGCGGUCCCGGGCCGUCUUGGGUGGUUCGACCUCGGCUGCACUGCUCCGCAGAGCACCGUAACCGCCGCCCUAGCACGGGUCCGGAGACCGCCGGCGCCUCGGGUCAGUAGCG
rnacentral:rRNA from 1 species